UAGAGAGACUUCAGCUUACCUGUAUUUAUAGUCACAGCUAUAGUGACUGAUCAGAGACUCCGUCACCGUGAUCAGCAGAUUAUAAUGGAACUUUGGACCUUCGCCAGUAUAGGAUGGAUCUGUGUAUACCAGCUAGGUUAUUCUUUUAAGUGUUUAGUAACAGCGGAGGCAGUGCGUGGGUAGAUGGAAUGCCUUGCGUGACAGCUGUUGAUAAGGCGUAUGCAAUUCGUCCCACCAGGACACAAUGUGAUUAAAAAUUCCAACCAGAUUGAACCGCAAGGCGUAAGAAGAUGCUUGAAUGAAGUUGGUGAAGAGUGCUGACCACUGAUAGACAUUCUACAGUAUCCCGCAUCAGAAAAGAGGCUACAAAAAGUUUGCUAAACAUUAUGCCAUGGCUCUGUGUCAGUCGCAUUUCCUCUGGAGCUUCUUAGAAGUGAGAAAGGCCGUUCAGAUGAUACUGUGAUUAAAUGUGUUAAUGUGUGGCAACUCUGCCAUGCACAUCUUUGUUUAAGUUGAAUCUUGUUCAAAAAAUUACAGAACAAAAACCUUCGUGACAUUGAUCAGAUGACGGUGACAAUCAGUUGGGAAAUAUUUUCAGUUUGACCAGUUAGAUUCCAGAAAAAUGUCAAAGCAUGAGUUUUUCUAACACUAAAACAACAAAUGUUGAGACUCACUGACUCACAGCGGUAAGUAAUCAGUGUUGUUUCAAUAUCGUAAGAUGAUUCCAUCAGGGUAAAAUCUUUACAAUAUGCAUUUUCCUACUUAUUGCAGAUAAACCACCAUUUUUGACACCCGGCAUCUUGUAAAAAGUGUUGCAAAAAACUUACUGCCAUGGAUAUUUUUUCAUGGAUACAAAUUAUAUCCUAUGGUGGGCAUGUGCAACGUGUGGUGAAAACGCCUGAGCCUUGAAGUCAAUGGCACGGUGUCUGGCUCGUUAUUAUUGUUGGCCUAACAGCCUUACAUCACAUUAAAGAGCCGUAAAAGUGACAUGGUGAAAAUAAAAUUGUGGGAAGAGAAAAUGCUUUUUUAACCGAGUUUAGAAGCCCGACAUAAUUGGCCAAUCACAGGUCGUUUGCCAUCGAACAGCCAAUAUGGUGGUCACAGACGAGCAUCUCUCACUGAUAACUACAUGUUUUGACUAGAUUUUUACCAUGAGAUAAUUAACCUGUAUUUUAAAUCAACAGCCAGGAUUACAAUGGAUAUGAUCACCUAAAUAAGUCAAUUGCAAUCUGUAAAAACACAUAUUCUCAGCUGCCACGCUGCAGUGCUUGUGAAUUUCUUGUACGUGUACGACUUUAUGUGACGGGCACGACUAGGUCUGCGCAGAAACAAUGACGCACUGAAAGAAUGAAAGAGCACACCGCUUUAGACCUCUUUUAGGCUGGCAAUGCAUUUCCCUAUAUCAACGAGGCAGCUUAUUAAUAAACAGAUUUCAAAGAGACAUAUAUUCUCUAAAUAAAAAUAAAAUAAAAAAUACAGCGUGCAGCCCCGCCUUUGUAUAGCCCAUUUUAAUUGAGUUCUUUCAAUCUCCACUGCAGCGGCUAUAUGGGAAACACUAUUCGAAUACAUGUACUUGAUCCAGCCAGACGGCUUACUUGCCUUCGGUAAGGCGUCUUAUUGAAGCAGCAUUAGAUAAAGGAGCGAUGGAAAUCCGCCCUGUAACCAGGAGGCACAUUACAUGCUCUAUAAGGAUUCCUUCGUCGUCAUAUGGCUGAAAAAUUGUUAAGUACGACGUUAAACCCCAAGUCCUCACUCACUCACUCACUCACUCACUC